CCGAAAUUGAUCUUAUAAUGUGUAGAAGGCCCAAAUUACCCGGCCCAAUUUCAAUUUAAACCAACCUUAGCCCAACCCAAACCAAAAAAAAAUAAAAAAUCCUAGGUGUGCCGCCCUACUGUCUGCCACCACAACCUACUCCAUAGUUGGUCACUCACCCCCAUUUUGCUCCACUUACCUGCAAUGGAAAAAGCAAAUAAAUAAAAAAGGAACAAGUUGUAAAAAGUGAGAAAAACCUACAAUCUGAAGGUAAUGUGGGGGGGGGGGGGGGUAUCAAUAAAAAAUACAAAAACAAUAUGGGGGAUUCAAGUAAAAAUUUGUAACUUUCCGAAUACAAAGAAAAUAGAGAAAACACUCAAAGAUUGGAGGUGAUUUACGAUUCAUAUUUUUCUUUUUUCUUUUUUCUUGCUUUGAAGGUACUUUAUCAUUAAAACAAAUAAAGAAGAGAUUCCAAAGACACUUACCUACGGUUUCAAUCGUCGGAGGCCAUCCUCCGGCUUGGAUAUCGGACCAAAAGGGGGUAAAAGGGGUCUCCUCUUGUUUUUACGCGACUUAGGUCAUGAACCGCGGCAGAGGUGGAGGCGUGAACGCCGAUGAUACCCGUGAGCAGCCCAAAAGUGACGGCUAAGGCUUGGUCUUUGAGUUUGGUUGAGAAAAAAAUCAAAAGGUUUGAAAUACAAAAAAAAAUGUAUCAAAAACAAAAAGAAAAAGAAAAUUUAGAAGGUUAAUUUCAAUUUUUUUUUCCUCUAUUAUCUCAAUCUUUCUAUUUAUCUUUGCCUUAUUUUAUUUUUUUCUCAUUAACUUACUUUUAAAAAAAAAGAAUUAAGGAAGAAGAAGAGACUAACCCGAUUUCACGUGGCCCUGACCACCGUCUAUGGUGGAAACCACGGUGGCUUCAAGGAGGCAUGAUGACGGCGCAUGAAUGGGUUUCUUUUGAAACCCUGGCAGAUCUAAAAAUGAAGAAAAUGGGAGGGGAAGGGCUGCUGUUCAUUUCUGGAAAAGAAAGAAAAUGAAAGAUUCAUUUUUUAAAAAAAAAAUUGGCC
rnacentral:lncRNA from 1 species